rnacentral:lncRNA from 1 species
UUCUGUAAACCCUUAGGAGACAAAACUCCUCUUGUAGAGAUCGUCUACGAGUUUAACGGGUUGGUGAACCUAAAAUCACCCGUCACGCCUACGAAAAGGAGCCUAGGAAUCGCAUCUAGUUUUCUUAGUUUAUUUUCUUUUCUUUUGAUUUUCACUCGAGGACGAGCAAAAUUUAGGUAUGGGGACGUUUGAUAGGUCCAUUAUUUUGCACAUUUUAACUACCGAUUUAUUGCUUGUUUUCGUAUUUUAUUAGUUAAUUGUUUUG